GGGUUGUGAGGUUAAGCGACUAAGCGUACACGGUGGAUGCCCUGGCAGUCAGAGGCGAUGAAGGGCGUGCUAAUCUGCGAUAAGCGCCGGUAAGGUGAUAUGAACCGUUAUAACCGGCGAUACCCGAAUGGGGAAACCCAGUGUGAUUCGUCACACUAUCAUUAACUGAAUCCAUAGGUUAAUGAGGCGAACCGGGGGAACUGAAACAUCUAAGUACCCCGAGGAAAAGAAAUCAACCGAGAUUCCCCCAGUAGCGGCGAGCGAACGGGGAGGAGCCCAGAGCCUGAAUCAGCAUGUGUGUUAGUGGAAGCGUCUGGAAAGGUGCGCGAUACAGGGUGACAGCCCCGUACACAAAAGCGCAUGUGCUGUGAGCUCGAUGAGUAGGGCGGGACACGUGAUAUCCUGUCUGAAUAUGGGGGGACCAUCCUCCAAGGCUAAAUACUCCUGACUGACCGAUAGUGAACCAGUACCGUGAGGGAAAGGCGAAAAGAACCCCGGCGAGGGGAGUGAAAAAGAACCUGAAACCGUGUACGUACAAGCAGUGGGAGCACAGGUUUACCUGUGUGACUGCGUACCUUUUGUAUAAUGGGUCAGCGACUUAUAUUCUGUAGCAAGGUUAACCGUAUAGGGGAGCCGUAGGGAAACCGAGUCUUAACCGGGCGUUAAGUUGCAGGGUAUAGACCCGAAACCCGGUGAUCUAGCCAUGGGCAGGUUGAAGGUUGGGUAACACUAACUGGAGGACCGAACCGACUAAUGUUGAAAAAUUAGCGGAUGACCUGUGGCUGGGGGUGAAAGGCCAAUCAAACCGGGAGAUAGCUGGUUCUCCCCGAAAGCUAUUUAGGUAGCGCCUCGUGAAUUCAUCUCCGGGGGUAGAGCACUGUUUCGGCUAGGGGGCCAUCCCGGCUUACCAACCCGAUGCAAACUGCGAAUACCGGAGAAUGUUAUCACGGGAGACACACGGCGGGUGCUAACGUCCGUCGUGAAGAGGGAAACAACCCAGACCGCCAGCUAAGGUCCCAAAGUCAUGGUUAAGUGGGAAACGAUGUGGGAAGGCCCAGACAGCCAGGAUGUUGGCUUAGAAGCAGCCAUCAUUUAAAGAAAGCGUAAUAGCUCACUGGUCGAGUCGGCCUGCGCGGAAGAUGUAACGGGGCUAAACCAUGCACCGAAGCUGCGGCAGCGAACGUAUCACCCAAGACAACUUUACGGAGUUGACGAUUGACGGAGCGAAGCGACGUCAAAGCGUUCAUUAAAGUCGAGUUGGCUUAGGGAUACGUUCGUUGGGUAGGGGAGCGUUCUGUAAGCCUGUGAAGGUGUGUCGUGAGGCAUGCUGGAGGUAUCAGAAGUGCGAAUGCUGACAUAAGUAACGAUAAAGCGGGUGAAAAGCCCGCUCGCCGGAAGACCAAGGGUUCCUGUCCAACGUUAAUCGGGGCAGGGUGAGUCGACCCCUAAGGCGAGGCCGAAAGGCGUAGUCGAUGGGAAACGGGUUAAUAUUCCCGUACUUGGUGUUACUGCGAAGGGGGGACGGAGAAGGCUAUGUUGGCCGGGCGACGGUUGUCCCGGUUUAAGCGUGUAGGUGUGUGUUCCAGGUAAAUCCGGUUCACUUUAACACUGAGGCGUGACGACGAGGCACUACGGUGCUGAAGCAACAAAUGCCCUGCUUCCAGGAAAAGCCUCUAAGCAUCAGGUAACACGAAAUCGUACCCCAAACCGACACAGGUGGUCAGGUAGAGAAUACCAAGGCGCUUGAGAGAACUCGGGUGAAGGAACUAGGCAAAAUGGUGCCGUAACUUCGGGAGAAGGCACGCUGACACGUAGGUGAAGUGAUUUACUCAUGGAGCUGAAGUCAGUCGAAGAUACCAGCUGGCUGCAACUGUUUAUUAAAAACACAGCACUGUGCAAACACGAAAGUGGACGUAUACGGUGUGACGCCUGCCCGGUGCCGGAAGGUUAAUUGAUGGGGUCAGCGCAAGCGAAGCUCCUGAUCGAAGCCCCGGUAAACGGCGGCCGUAACUAUAACGGUCCUAAGGUAGCGAAAUUCCUUGUCGGGUAAGUUCCGACCUGCACGAAUGGCGUAAUGAUGGCCAGGCUGUCUCCACCCGAGACUCAGUGAAAUUGAACUCGCUGUGAAGAUGCAGUGUACCCGCGGCAAGACGGAAAGACCCCGUGAACCUUUACUAUAGCUUGACACUGAACAUUGAGCCUUGAUGUGUAGGAUAGGUGGGAGGCUUUGAAGUGUGGACGCCAGUCUGCAUGGAGCCGACCUUGAAAUACCACCCUUUAAUGUUUGAUGUUCUAACGUGGACCCGUAAUCCGGGUUGCGGACAGUGUCUGGUGGGUAGUUUGACUGGGGCGGUCUCCUCCUAAAGAGUAACGGAGGAGCACGAAGGUUGGCUAAUCCUGGUCGGACAUCAGGAGGUUAGUGCAAUGGCAUAAGCCAGCUUGACUGCGAGCGUGACGGCGCGAGCAGGUGCGAAAGCAGGUCAUAGUGAUCCGGUGGUUCUGAAUGGAAGGGCCAUCGCUCAACGGAUAAAAGGUACUCCGGGGAUAACAGGCUGAUACCGCCCAAGAGUUCAUAUCGACGGCGGUGUUUGGCACCUCGAUGUCGGCUCAUCACAUCCUGGGGCUGAAGUAGGUCCCAAGGGUAUGGCUGUUCGCCAUUUAAAGUGGUACGCGAGCUGGGUUUAGAACGUCGUGAGACAGUUCGGUCCCUAUCUGCCGUGGGCGCUGGAGAACUGAGGGGGGCUGCUCCUAGUACGAGAGGACCGGAGUGGACGCAUCACUGGUGUUCGGGUUGUCAUGCCAAUGGCACUGCCCGGUAGCUAAAUGCGGAAGAGAUAAGUGCUGAAAGCAUCUAAGCACGAAACUUGCCCCGAGAUGAGUUCUCCCUGAGACUUAGAGUCUCCUGAAGGAACGUUGAAGACGACGACGUUGAUAGGCCGGGUGUGUAAGCGCAGCGAUGCGUUGAGCUAACCGGUACUAAUGAACCGUGAGGCUUAACCUUACAACGCCGAAG
rnacentral:rRNA from 5 species